rnacentral:rRNA from 1 species
UGGGGAAUUUUGGACAAUGGGCGAAAGCCUGAUCCAGCAAUGCCGCGUGUGUGAAGAAGGCCUUCGGGUUGUAAAGCACUUUUGUCCGGAAAGAAAUCCUUGGCUCUAAUACAGUCGGGGGAUGACGGUACCGGAAGAAUAAGCACCGGCUAACUACGUGCCAGCAGCCGCGGUAAUACGUAGGGUGCAAGCGUUAAUCGGAAUUACUGGGCGUAAAGCGUGCGCAGGCGGUUUGCUAAGACCGAUGUGAAAUCCCCGGGCUCAACCUGGGAACUGCAUUGGUGACUGGCAGGCUAGAGGUAUGGCAGAGGGGGGUAGAAUUCCACGUGUAGCAGUGAAAUGCGUAGAGAUGUGGAGGAAUACCGAUGGCGAAGGCAGCCCCCUGGGCCAAUACUGACGCUCAUGCACGAAAGCGUGGGGAGCAAACAGGAUUAGAUACCCCUGGUAGUCCACGCCCUAAACGAUGUCAACUAGUUGUUGGGGAUUCAUUUCCUUAGUAACGUAGCUAACGCGUGAAGUUGACCGCCUGGGGAGUACGGUCGCAAGAUUAAAACUUAAAGGAAUUGAC